rnacentral:rRNA from 1 species
GACAGAGGGUGCAAACGUUGUUCGGAAUUACUGGGCGUAAAGCGAGUGUAGGCGGUUUCCUAAGUCAGGUGUGAAAGCCCCGGGCUCAACCCGGGAAGUGCACUUGAAACUGGGAGGCUAGAGUAUCGGAGAGGUUGGUGGAAUUCUCGGUGUAGAGGUGAAAUUCGUAGAUAUCGAGAGGAACACCGGUGGCGAAGGCGGCCAACUGGACGAAUACUGACGCUGAGACUCGAAAGCGUGGGGGAGCGAACAGG